rnacentral:rRNA from 1 species
UGGGGAAUAUUGCACAAUGGGCGCAAGCCUGAUGCAGCCAUGCCGCGUGUAUGAAGAAGGCCUUCGGGUUGUAAAGUACUUUCAGCGGGGAGGAAGGUGUUGUGGUUAAUAACCACAGCAAUUGACGUUACCCGCAGAAGAAGCACCGGCUAACUCCGUGCCAGCAGCCGCGGUAAUACGGAGGGUGCAAGCGUUAAUCGGAAUUACUGGGCGUAAAGCGCACGCAGGCGGUCUGGCAAGUCGGAUGUGAAAUCCCCGGGCUCAACCUGGGAACUGCAUCCGAAACUGGCAGGCUUGAGUCUUGUAGAGGGGGGUAGAAUUCCAGGUGUAGCGGUGAAAUGCGUAGAGAUCUGGAGGAAUACCGGUGGCGAAGGCGGCCCCCUGGACAAAGACUGACGCUCAGGUGCGAAAGCGUGGGGAGCAAACA